GAUGAACGCUAGCGAUAGGCUUAACACAUGCAAGUCGAGGGGCAGCAUGGUCUUAGCUUUCUAAGGCUGAUUGCGACCGGCGCACGGGUGCGUAACGCGUAUGCAACUUUCCUCACAUAGGUGGAUAACCCGUCGAAAGACGUACUAAUACCGCGUACACUCUAUUUUUUGCUUCCAAUGUCGAUGAAAUUAAAUUCUCUGUUAGAUAGUCAUUCUUCCCAGUUGCUAUUUGGUUAGGUAACGGCUAACCAAGGCGACGAUGGUUAGGGGAACUGAGAGGUUGAAACACCACAAUGGUACUGAGACAAGGAACAGAAUCCUACGGGAGGCAGCAGUGAGGAAUAUUGGUAAAUGGGCGAGAGCAUGAAACAGCCAAGUAGCGUGAAGGAAGACUGUCUUAUGGAUUGUAAACUUCUUUUAGACGGGAAUAACAAGAGUAACGUGUGGCUCAAUGAAUGUACCGUAUGAAUAAGCAACGGCUAACUCCGUG
rnacentral:rRNA from 1 species